AUGAAAUGCAUAAGAGAUAUGCAGAAAGAGAUACGUCUAAUUCCUGAGAAAUGUGCUGAGAUAUUGCUCGAGAAGCUAAGUAAGAAGGGUUUGCUGGUGAAGCGAAGUGGGGACUUCCGUGAUGAGCGCGCUUAUGAGGACGAAAGUGAUGAGUGCGUGACAAAGUACAAGCCAAAGUAUCAUACGGAAGUUACUUCAUCUCCUUUGGAAGAACGCGCGGAGGAGAAGAUGGAUGCAUCCUUCACGGGUCCAAAUGGUACGAACUUUUCCAAUGACAAAGGCAUGCAGUCCAGUACACCCGGUAAAGGUGAUGAAAACGACCCCUUUAUUAUUGAGGACAAUGGUUCACCCAGGGAAGCAUCACCAUCAUUAGGCACGAAUGAUUUUCCUUCACUUACUAGAAACCCACAGAAAGAAAAUGCAGUAUCAGUCGGGUCUAGCGCUGAAAAUUCAGCGGAAGGUAGUUACCCUAGUCUAACAAGAAUCUGUACGGACGCGAUUAAUAAUGGGACUAAGGAGCAUGAUAAUGGGACUAAGGAGCAUGAUGUGAAGCGGAAACGCCAAAAGUCAAAGUAUUGUCUGUCCCCCUACCAGCAGGACGGUCCACGCAAACGUGUGAAAAAAAGUCUGUUUCGUAUACGUGAUAUUCUCCUUAGUACGGACUUUAUGGAUGAGAAUCACAUAGAGGGCGCGAGGGUUUAUAUCGACACGCUAGCACACUCGCCGAAGCAUUGUGCACAGACUGUGGUCCACAUGACGGGAAUAGGUGGGGAAACGUGUACGGCGGAAAUGCUUCAAGCUAUCACUUCGGGCCAGUGGUUGAAUGGCGCAGUCAUCAAUUGUUAUUCGAACCACUUGCUGACUAGUACUCCUAUGCCUGAUCGGCAUGUUCUAACAUCAUGGGUGUCAUACUGCCUUAUACAGCGCGCUGAAGGAAAGCUGAAACACUCGAACAUGAACUACAUGGAAUUUUUCACGAAAGAAUCGAAAACUGUGUCAAGAGUAGUUGACGAGUACUUCGCAAAAGAUAAGGCAUUUUUCCCUCUAAAUGUGAACAAGAAUCAUUGGAUAACCAUUGUCAUGCACAAUAAGAAGGAAGAGUUUCAAGUUCUAAAUUCUACUGGUAAAAUAAGCAAGGCAGUUCAUGCGAAGAUUGCUUCGAUGAGGGCAGAAAUUGCUGUAGAUACAAAUCAGGUAAACUCUGCUAUAGGUACACAUCAUCCAGAUGUGUCUAAAUGGCCAAUACAGGAGUACAAAAUGCCGAGACAAACAGACGGAGUGUCUUGCGGACUUUUCGUGAUGAAAUGCAUCGAACUCUAG
rnacentral:rRNA from 1 species